GCCUGUUUUAUCAAAAACAUGGUUUCUUGUAAUUAUUUAAGAGAUCUGACCUGCCCACUGAAGAUAUUUUGAAGGGCCGCAGUAUUUUGACUGUGCAAAGGUAGCAUAAUCAUUAGUCUUUUAAUUGAAGGCUGGUAUGAAUGGUUGGAUGAGGUAAAUUCUGUUUUAUGUUAAUUGGUGUUGAAUUUAGAUUUUAAGUAAAAAUACUUAAAUGUUAUUAAGGGACGAGAAGACCCUAUAGAGUUUAAUAAAUGUAGUAAAUAAUUGAGUUAAAUCUUAAUUUUUGGUUUUUAUGUAAUUUAUUUAAUUGGGGUGAUUGGAAAGAUAAAAUAAACUCUUCUUUAUAUUUAAUAAAUUAAUUAGUUUUAUGAUCCAUAUUUAAUGAUUAAAAGAUUAAAUUACCUUAGGGAUAACAGCAUAAUUCUUUUUAAGAGUUCAUAUCGAAAAAAGAGAUUGUGACCUCGAUGUUGGAUUAAGAUUAGUUAUGGGUGCAGAUGUUCAAUAACUAGGUCUGUUCGACCUUGAAAAUCUUACAUGAUCUGAGUU
rnacentral:rRNA from 1 species